GGCAGUGCGGUUACCCUCUCCUCCGCUGGAGAGUGGGGACGCCCCUCCCCCGCCCCCAGGCGUCCCUGAGGUCGGCAGCUCAGUCUGCAAGGCGAUGAAGCGGGCUCUGGGUUCUACCCUGGCCAGGCCAAGCUUAGUCUGUGGAAGCGGCAGCAGGGAGCACCGGCCGGGGCUGAGGGAAGGGGGACCCCAAACCGCACAGGCGUUUUCCCUCCCUCCCUAUUCGUGACUUAUCCCUGCCCCAGUUGCCCGUCUUCGGUAGGACUAUCUGCCCGGCCUCUCUCAGCUGCCAACCUUGCCCGAAAUCUAGACCCCAGACCUGUUAUCUUCAGUGAGAGAGUGUUCUGCUAUUAACAGAAGUGGAAGUCCCAUAUGCCUUAACUGAAUGGUGCUAGGCACUUGAUUACUCAGUUCCUGAGAAGUCUGUGAAAUGGUUACCUUAUCCCCAAUUUGCAGAUGAAGAAACUGAGCUUCAGAGAGUGAACAAAAGAAUGACCAACAUGAACAAGCUACUGUAUCAAAUUUAUGGGUAAAUCCUCUCCAAAUCUUCAAUAGUAUUGUGCUACUGUUUUAAGGAAAUGAGCAUCUCUGGAUGUUUUUCUCCUACGCCAAAAUCAGAAAACUUCUCAUAAGAGAUAAGAUGUAUAAUAGAAAGAAGGUAGACAGAACAUAGAAGAGCUGGUUAUAGGACACUUGAGUUUUAGCUGGCCACAUAGCCACACAGCUAAGAUUACAUGUCCCAGCCUCCUGUGGAGUUGGUGAUUAAGCUCUGGCCAAUGGGAUGUAAGUGAAAUGACAUGUAAAAGGGAAGGAAAAAGCCAGAAUGAAUGGGACAGGGAUGGAAGAAAACCUUCUAAAUUGGCAAGCCAAUCCCAAAUUUAACAUGGAAUGCAAGAGACUUACAACAGCCAAAACAAUCUUGAAAAAGAAGACCAGAGUUCAUGGAUUCAUACUUUCCAAUUUUAAACCUUAUUACAAAAUUAUGUUAAUAAAUACAGCAUGGCACUCGCAAAAUGAUAAACUUAUGGAUCAGUGAAAUAGAUUGUGAGUCCAGAAAUAAACAUUAACAUUUAUGGUCAGUUGAUUUUUGACACAAGGACCAUGACAAUUCACUAGGAAAAGAAUAUUCUUUCAACAAAUGAUGUUGGGACAAUUGGAUAACCAUAUACAAAGGAAUGAAUUCAAAUCCUUAUCUCACACUAUAUACAAAAAGCAACUUCAAGUAGAUCAUAUAGCUACAUGUAAGAGCUAAAACUAUAACACUGUUAGACAAAAAUAUAGGAGUGAAUGCAGGAUUUGGGGUUAGGCAAUACAAUCUUAAAUCCAAUACCAAAAACAUAAGCAAUAAAAAGGAGAUCAAUAAAUCGGAGUUCAUCAGAGUUAAAAACUUUUGUGCUUCAAAUGACAUCAUCAAGAGUGUGAAAAGGAAAUCCACAGAUUGUGAGAAAAUACUUGAAAAUCAUACAACUCAUAAGGCAUAUGUAUCCAAAAUAUAUAAUGAACCCUCACAAAAUAAUAAAAAGACAACUCAAUUAUGAAAACGGGCAAAAGCUUUGAAUUGACAUUCUCUAAAGAAGGUUUGUGAAUUAGUAAUAGGCACAGAUAAAGACAUUGAACAUCAUUAGUCAUUUGGGAAAGGUAAAUUAAAAUGAUAAUGAGAUAUCACUUCUGCCCCAGAAGAGUGGUUAUAAUAAAAAAGGCAGACAAUAACAAGUGUUAGCAUGGAUGUGGAGGGAUUGGAAACCUAAUUCAUUGCUGGUGGGAAUGUAAAACUGGUAGCCACUUUGGAAAAAAGUGUUUAGUAGUUUCUGAAAAUAUUAACAUAGAGUUGCCAUAUGACCUAGGAAUGUCACAACUAAUUAUAUACCCAAGAUAAUAAAAAUACAUGCCCACACAGCAACUUGUACAUGGAGCUUCAUAGUAGCAUUAUUCAUAAUAGCUAAAACACAAAACAAUCAAAAUUAUUAUUAAUAGGUAAAUGGAUAAACAAACUAAUAGAACAUAAUUUAUCAAUAAAAAGGAAUGAAGUAUUAAUAGAUGCUAUGACAUUGGUAAACCUCAGAAAUAUUAUGCUAAAUAAAAGAAUAAGUCACAAAACAUUAUCUAUUGUAUAAUCCCAUUUAUAUGAAAUGUCCAUAAUAAGCAAACUACAGGGACAGAAAGUAGACUAGUCAUUGCCUAGGCUGAAAGUGGAAGUAGGGAGAAUGGGAAAUGAUUUCUAAUGGGUAAAGUUUUCUUUCUGAGAUUAUGAAAAUGUUCUAUAAUAGAGUUAGAUUAUGGCAAUAGCUGAACUCUGUAAAUAUACUGGAAUCCACUGAAUUCUUACCUUAAAAAAUAUAUAUAUGAGCUCAUAAUAAUACCUAAAACACACAAUGAGUUACCAGUGGUAAUUUCCAAGGUACAAGUUUACCUUAUUCAGAAAAUUUAUAGAACAAAAUAAUAAGUUACAUUUGUCAAAUUGCCAAUUUAGUCUAUGCAAUAUUUAUUUGUAAUGUUGUUUCAAUGAAAUGUAACCUGAAAAUAAUUUAUACGAAGUCUAAAAUAUUAAUAAGUUGUAGAUUAUAACUUUAACAGUGUUCCUGACAGACAAUACUGCUAAAAAUCAAGUCUAUAAAAUUUGUUUUAUGUAUUAUAUGGAUUCUAAUAUUGCAAAUAAUAUUUACAUUUUUUCCUUCAAAAGUUUAUAUGUUUCCUUCUCUGAACUUUUCUCUUUGGUUUCUUUGCUUUAUACUUCAUGGAUUCAAUUGCUCUCAGGAAAUAGUAGGGCUCCUGAAAGAAUUUUCAGUGUUAAUUAGAAACCAAUUUAUUCACAUAUAUAUGCACACAAAAAACUCAUGAAACAGUUCCUUAUCCUUAUAAUAAGCAUUAAUUUUAAACCUGAAGUUUUCAGCAAGAUGCUUUCUCAUGGCCAUGAAAAUCAAUCAACACCAGCAAAAUACCAUAUGUCAUUAACAAAGAUGUAUGUUAGAUGGAAGCAAAAGUAAAUUUCAAUUUAGAGUAGAAGUGGAGAGAACUAGAAGUGGAUAAAAGAAUAAUCUGGAUGAUUGAUUUUGAAUAAACAUGAAUAAGAAUUAGAACUCAACUUUCCACUCUUAAAUUUUACACAGAGAUAUAAUAGCUUUAGCAAUGUAAUAUCUUUUUGUAGGACAGUAUUAUCUAUCUGCAUAUAUGCACAUGCACACACACACACACACACACACACACACACACACACACACACACACACACAUUCAAUUGUAUUUCGGUCCCUAUUUGAAUUCCAGAAAUAAUCCUAAAAUCUGCAUCCGGAGGCUUCAAAAACUCAGUUUCCGUUUUACUGUUACUGGAAAAUGGCACGAGGGAAAUACUGGCAAGAAGUAAAACUGGUCAGUGCAUCUGCCAUCCCCAGGUGCUGUCUUGGUGGGACUCGUCAGUGCUCUCCGCCUUGUGCAUUGAUGCUGAAGACUCCCCCUGACCAGAUCCUAGUCAUUUGCCAGGUUCUCCCAAUCAUGAGGAGUUACACUGGCAACUGAUCCUCAUGCUCACCCUGCUGUCAAAGCAUUCCAGUUUUUAAUCACUACAUGACUUGUCAGAUUGAAUAUGAACCACAUGCCUACAAUACAACCUCCCUAAUAAUGAGAAUGCCAAAAAAAGGAAAACUUUGGACAUGUCUUCUGUCACUGUUCACAUUCUGAAACUAAGUUUGAGAAAGCUCUUCAACUGAAAAUUAUGUUUGCACAUUGAGAAACUAAAUUGUUAUUCCCUUAAUUUACUCAACAAACCAACUGUCAAAAGCAUGUGCUUACAAAUGAAUGUUUCUAAGAUUCUGGCUGACUUUUAUAGAGUAUAUUUCCACUGUAGAAAAGAAGCCAUCUCCCAUGAUUAAGGAAAAAAGCAGCCAAACUUUACUUCCAGAUCUGUACACCACACCUGUCACUUCCUUACCUACUGGGAGACAUUAUCUUCUUGGCUAUAUUUAGUUGGAAAUGCUAAAGCAUAUUUUAGGAAUUCUUUUUAAACUCAAAAUGAUGAACUUUAUUUUCUUGAGAAUGGUACUUGAAUCACAGUCUCAGUUAUUUUUCCCCAGAGUUUGAGAUUUGAAAUUGCUACAGCAUUGAGAAUUAAUAUAAAAAUAGAAGGCAAAAUUUUAUUAAUUAAAAAUUGCAAUUAAUUGACUUACACUUAUGUGUAGAUAUUAAUCCUAUGUUUUGAAUGAGUUUAGAAAAGAUACACCAAGUGCUAUUGUUUACUGGAUGGUGGCAAGGAUUUUCUGUACAUGAAAAUGAUGUCAGCUAAAAGACUCAUCGGGCUCUUUGUGGGAAACAUCCAAUAUGUACGUUGAUAACAGCAGAUAGCCAGUUCUAAUUCUAUAGCAUGUCUUCUGCAUUUUACUGAAAUCAGGUAAAAGAUAAAAUCGUCUUGUAGCCCCCAUGUGGAGUGAAUAUUUUGGCAAUAAGACAUUCCUAUAGUUGGCUUAAUUCAUAAAAUUAAUUAACUUCUAUCCCAGUUUCUUGAAGUAUUUUUUUUCAGUAUAUACAUUUGGGUGUUUUUUAGGUGUUUCUGUUUUGAAUGCACCAUGCAGCAAAAAGUUUUGAUAAAUUAGUCUAUGAUUCUGUUCUUAAAACAACACCUCAUCAAGAACUUUAUUAUGGGAAGUGUGAGCUAAAUAGUCAAAUCUUGAAAAAAGCACUAAAUGUAUAAGAUUCUUAUUACCAGAUCUUUUGCAUUGUAGCUAAGUGUCACAAUCCCUCAAACUGGAAAACAUUUUAAUGAUUUAUGAAAUUGAGACUUCAUUAGUCUUCUUUGGAAUUGUCAAGCAUGUCUCAUCUGAAUAUAAAAGCUCAGCUCUUCACUUGUCUUUUAAAAAGAAAACCAAGGAACAAAUUCUACCUACCACUUCCUUCUACUUGCUGUAAGCCAGUCCUGAACUAAGUAAUAUCUUGAAAAGGAAAUUAAAGCACAUCUUUUUAAAUACCAAAAUUCAUUUACAACUUUAAAGUUUAUUGAGUAGAGCUAUUUACAAAACCUUUACCUUGUUUACCUUGCAGGACUAUGACUGCCUGUCAAUAGACAUAGGCUGCUUGGGGGUAUCACCAUGUCUUAUUAUUCUUUUUGUCCACAAUAGGAGUAUACAGUUCUUGGUUAUGAAUGAAGUAGGUAUAAACUAAAUGAACUUUAAAUUAAACUUCUUGCAAAGAUAGGAACUAAUUCCACCCCUAAAAAUUAUUAUCCAUAACAACUUUUUAAUUACAUGUAUUGAGAGAAUAUCCCUUGUUUUUUUCUUUAUUAUUUAUUUGUUCUAUUAUUUUUAUUUAUUCUUUAUUAUUUCUUUUUCUUUGUUAUAAACACUGGAAUUGAAUUCUCUAUAACAUUCAGACCCCUAAAUUCUCUACCUAUUACAGCAGUGCAAAUCUUACAAAUUUGCAGAGCUUCAUCAACUUACCAAACUUCAUCAACUUACCAGGAAAUAUUCAUGCCUAGUGAACUAAAAACCUAGAAUAGUUCCCACUUAAACUGGACACUGAAAUUGAAACCCUUAAAACUAGAUUUUUUUUUUCUUUUUAACUAAACUCAAAGUACACACCAGUAAAAAGGAAGAGCUUGAUAGGAUUGUAUUGAAAUUCCUAAGUAUGGUUGGGAAAGGCCAUUAAAAUAAUAUUUGAAUUAAUUGGCUAUUUUUCUCCACUUGGUAAUAAAACAAAUAAACUGAUUGUGAUAUCACAUUAUUCAUCCACAUCAGUGGUUACAUGUUAACCUCAACCAUCUUUAUGUUUACUAUAAAAAUUCAUAUACUAGGUUUGGAGGUUAUGUAAUGAAGGAACUAAAUUGCGUGCAUUGUGUGUACUUUUCACUUUCUUGCCUUUUAGCAUUGUUUUCCUAUUUACCUAGAAGAGUUUUUUGUUUUGUCCAAACCUUUUUAUAUACUUUAGAAGCAAAGUUCUUCCCUUUGAGAGUGCUGACUUUGUGCAUGGUGCUGACUAAGGAGACCCUGAACCCUAUUACCUGACAUCCUCUGCAAAUCGCACCAUUGAAAAUGAUUCACAUAGUUAUAAUAAUGUUUACAUUUAUUUACACAUAGUUUUUAAAACUUUUGAAAUUUAAAUUAAAUUAUAAGUAAGAGGAAUAUUUAUGAAAUGUCAAAGUAUACUAGUCAGGAAUGGAAGGUCUUCUUUUCUCAUUCUUUUGUGUAAUGCCAUUUGAUACAUUUUCAAAACAAUUUUACUUUUAUUUCUAGAUAUUUGGAGAGUACCAUAAGCACUUCAUAGUUUAUACUCCAUUGAGGAGAAAUAUUUAUAAUGUAUUGGUAAAGCUGCCAGUUUUAGCAACAAAUAAUAUAGGACACCAGUCAGAUUUGUGUUACAGAUAAAUAGUGGAAUUUUAAAACUUACUUGAGACAUACUUUCCUAAAACAUUAUUCAUUGUUUACCUGAAAUGCACAUUUCACUUGGUGUCCAGUAUUAAAUCUAGCAAUCCUAUUGUUGAUCUUGGUGAAGAAUCUAUUAAAAAUUUAUAGUAAAAAUACUUAUAGAAAUAAGAAAGGUACAACAAUAGAAACACUAUGAUGAAUUAUUAUCACAUAUGUCAGAUAUCCCGAAGGCCAGAUAAUAGCUGUCAAAAGUAGAAUACACAGAGUAAAAGAACAAUCUAGGGUGAUUUAAUCUGUGUCUCAUUGUCAUAAAAGCGUUCCUUCAUUGACUACCCAUGACAUUUCAGGAACUAGCUGCACUAGUUACAAGUGUACAUACAGCAGCGAACUUUGAAGCUGGAUGGGAGACACAGCCAUGGAAGAGACAAAAUUAUUAGUGAAAAGAAGAGAGGCCUCGAGCAGAAACUUAAAGACCCCUGCAUGUAAAGGCUACCAGACGAAGACCAGCCUAUUAAGAGACUGAGAAAGGGCAUCAAAUAAAGGAGGAAGCAUUCUGCACUGACCAUUCCUUGCCAGAGUCCCUUGGAAAAAUGGCUGACUUCAAGACAAGGGAAGAUAGAUGACCUUGAAGUACGUCUGGUGCCAGAAAGAAGUACUGAAAAAUUGAUGUGGAAAUGGCACAAGGAUCCAGGAGACAACUUGAAGAAACUUCCAUGAGCACAAACAAUAGUAAUAUAUUAUAACUCAUUAAAUAAAAUUAGAUUUCAUGAUCCCCUAUUGAUAAUAAUAAUAAUAGAUAGACAAAAAGAGAAAGGAAAUUUGUUCCUUGUAGGGAAGUGCUGAAUAAUAAAUAUAGAAAGAUGAUGGAGUUAAAAAUCACCAUUUUGCAAUUAGCAUUGUAAAAAUUGAUUAAGGAAAGAAAUGGAUGGUAUACCUAGGGUGACGAGGGAGGUUAAAUGAGGUUCAGAAUAUUUACAUAAUAUUAAGAAUUGCCCCACACAUUAUUUAUUACAGUUGAUCCUCAUUAUUCACAGAUUCCAUAUUUGCAAAUUCACUUCCUUGCUAAAAUUUAUUUGUAACCCCCCAAACAAUAUUCAUGGAUGUUGAAGUUACUUAUGAAUAUGCAGGAGCAGUGAAAGAUUUGAAUUGCCUAAUGUACAUGUUCUCAGCUGAGGUGAAACAAGGCAGCACUCCAUCUUCUUAUUUCAGCUCUUCUAUAACAAAGCAUUUCUGCAAAGUAUAUUUAGUGUCAGGUUUUUGAGUUUUUGUGCUUUUUGUUGGUUAUUUUGCUGUUUAAAGUGGCCCCAAAGUGUAGUGAUGAACUCUCUUUCUAGUGUUCCAAAGUAUGAGAAGGUGUGAUGUGCCUUACAGACAUAGUACAUGUCUUAGAUAAGCUUCCUGCAGGGAUGAGUUACAAUGCUGUUGGCUGUGUGUUUAAUGUUAAUGAAUUGACUAUAUUAUUAAUAAAUAAGGUGUCUUUAAACAAAAACAGACAUAAAUCAAAGUUAUGUACUGAUUGGCUGACAAAAAUGUUGUGAUUAGAAGCUUACCAGAACCUGACCCAGAUUUAGCAAUGUUUCAGUAUUUGGUCAUUUAGUAUUCACAGCAACUUUAUAGAACAUAACUACCAUGAAUAAUGGAACUUGACAAUAAUUACAAAGGGAGAAAUAAUAAAUACACCUUGGAGAAAUUGGACAAAGCUUUAACCAAGUGAUCCAAAUUAAUAUCACUAAUAAGGGGCAAAUGAACAUCAUGGUCCACCAGAUUUGAUAUCCUGAAAAGCAUAUGACAGUCUUUAUGCAACAUUCAAGCCCAUAAUGUUUAAAAGUUGAAUUCAAUAUUGAGGAAAUGCCAGAGAACUCAAAUUGAAGGACAUUAUAUAAAACAAUUGUCUCAUAUUCUUCAAAAUAUCAACCACAUGAAAAUCAAAGAAAGACAGAGGAACUAGUCCAUAUUAAAUAGACAAAAAAAAAGAGACAUACAAUUAAAUGUAUUGUGCAAUUCUAUACCAGGAAAUCCUGUCCUGGAAAAAAUUCUAUAAAAAAUUUUUUUAAAUGGAUUAUGUUAUAUAUAAUAGUUUAAUAUUAACACUAAAUUUCAUUAAUUUGAUAAUAAUACCAUAGAUAUGUAAGAGCUAUGCUUAUUCUUAGAAAAUAGAUAUUGAAGUUUCAUGGGAUAAGAAGGAAUGAUGUGCAUAACCUGAGCUCAAAAGAUUCAGACAAAAUGAGCAUUUCUAUGUCUAUAUCUAUCUGUCUAACUAUCUGUCUGUCUAGAAAAGGAGAAAGAAAGAGAGGGCAUGUGCAUGCAAAUGUGGUCUAGGUAAAGGAAAAUAUUGAUACUAUUCCUGAAACUUUUAUGUAUUUGGAAUUACUUCAAAAUAUAAAGUUUAAAAAAAGAGGCAGAAGAAACUCAGCAGGGUGUGCUUGUCAGUGGAGGCCAGAGAAGAGGAAGUGGUCAGCCAUAUCAAAUGCUAUAGAGGUAAGUUGAAUUUAGCAACAAGUUGUUAGUGAUUCCAGUUUCAUUGGAUUUGCUGAGACAGAAGUCUGUUUGUCAAGGGUGCAAAUGAAGUGGUGUGUGGAAUUACAGACACUAAUUUUAGGAAUUUUAGCUGUAAAAGAAAGGAGAGAAAUAUGGUAGAAGCUGGAGUGAGAAAGGAAAUUAUUUUAUUUGUUUGUUUUUCAGUUGGAGA